CAAAAAACGUUGACGAGGACAAAUGGUUAAGACCAGAUACUUACAGAGAGUCGGGAUCGCUGAAAACCGAUAGUAUCCCUUACCAUUACUCACCUCUAAGUGCUAAUCUGAACGGUUACAAGUAGGAAUAGCCGAGUGUUUACUUUAACACUCGUUAUCAAAAGCAACGCUAGUAAAAAGGGAAAAAGGAGUUUAGUCAAACUACUAACCUUUCACUUUAUUAAACUAGUCGCUGUAAAAGGUGUUAUUCGUAAGGAUAACAUAAAGUUGGGUGGUACCAUGGAAAGAAGUCUUUUCAUCCCUUCA
rnacentral:ncRNA from 1 species